rnacentral:lncRNA from 1 species
CUGCUGCAGGUUUCAAUGGAGCUGUGGAAGAUGGAGGAGGAGGAGGCAACAGUGGAAGACAUGGUCGUCAUGCGAAAAAAAAAUAGCAGAUGAGAUUCUUGUAGAAAAGAUUUGGAAAGAGAAGAAAACGUAAAAACUUUUUCCAAAGUGGGAGCAAAUGAUCAACUUGGCCUAUCCUGGACAUCUUUACACUGCCCUUUUAGGUAUCGUUUGGUUCGGGUAUGAGAUUGAACUGCUUAUUUUAGGGAUGGGUACAAAAUGUUGGAACUAGCUGGAACUAUUGUAUUUUUGUGUUUGAUUGAGCAUUAUGUUUGUAGCAUGUAUAAAGAAUAUAGUGUUUGGAUGUAUAAGAUAGAAUAAGAUGAAUAAAUGUUGGUUAAAAGUUAAAAUUACGUUUUUACCCCUUGUGCUUAUAAUCCUAUAAAAACAAAAUAUGAUAUAAUUAUAUAUAAAUAUAAUUCACUCUAAUUUUCAUUCUUGAAAAAUUAUUUAAUUAAUUAUUAUAUUGUUAAAAAAAGCGUUACUUUUCAAAUAAAUUUAUUUCUGCGAAUUUUCGCUCGUUAUAAUUAAACUAAACUUCUCCUAAAAAUAAAUAUAUUUAAUAAUAAUUCAAUAAGGUUUAUAACCAUGUUAGCAAAUAAUUAACUACAGUAAAACAAAUUAAAAUAAAAAUAUUCCAAUGCAUAUGUUAAUAUGUUACAAACAUUUCAAUCUAAAUGUUACAAAUAUUCCAAUCCAUAUUAAUAACAACCUAUUAAUAAUACUGCAAUAAGGUUUAUAACUAUGUUAGUAAAUAAUUAACACAACCUGUUGUUGUCCAGGCCAUAUAACACACUGAAAGGGUUCGGUGACAACGGAAUAGGAGAAAGGAAUCUAUUGCGAACUUCUAUACCAUCAUUACGACGAUGGUGACAUGAUCAUAGAGUUGACCCUUGUCCUGGUGUUUCUCUGCAGGUUUCAAUGGAGCUGUGGAAGAUGGAGGAGGAGGAGGCAACAGUAGAAGACAUAGUUGCCACGCGAAAAAAAAAUGGCAGAGGAGAUUCUUGUAGGAAAGAUUUGGGAAGAGGAGAAAGCGUAAAAACUUUUUCCGAAGUAGGAGCAAAUGAUCAACUUAGCCUAUCUUGGACAUCUUUACACUGCCCUUUUAGGUAUCUUUUGGUUCAGGUAUAAGAUGGAACUACUUAUUCCAGGGAUAGGUGCAAAUGUUGAAACUAAGGUGGAACUAUUGUAUUUUUGUGUUUGAUUGAGUAUUAUGUUUAUAACAGGUAUAAGAAAAAUAGUGUUUGGAUGUUUAAGAUAGAAUAAGAUGAAUAAAUGUUGGUUAAAAAUUAAAUUACGUUU